GGACUUAAAAACACCGAACGCCUUGCCCAGAGGUAAACUUGGUAGUUAUCCUUUUCCCUUCAAUUAUUUAAAAUAGUUUGCUUACUUAAUCAGGUUCAUACUAUCUUGAAAAGAAAAUAAAAAUGUUAAAAAUAGUAAGCCCCAUGUGAGUAGACUUGUCGUUUAAAAACCCAUAGGUAUAUUGACUGUGGUGGCAUAAAAUAAAUAUGUUUUCAUCUUACAAUAAAAAUAUAAAAAUAAUAAGUGUAUGAUCCUGCUAAAUAAAUAACAUUUAUUGAGGAGGCUCAACAUGAUAAAAGCUAGAUAUUUAUGCUAACACUUAACCAGUUCCACAAAGCUUUGUUGUGUAUUUGAGCUCCACAAAAUUCUAGGAUCAAAGAAGACUAGCAGACGGAGGACAUCCUAAUCGCUGUCAGGGUGCUGCCGAUAUUCAAAUACACCUCCACCACCUGCUAGCUACAUGAGAAGAAAUUACAUCAAAAUCCAGCUUGGGAGAGAGCACCCCCAUUUAUCCAGCUAAGUGUUUCUACUCGCAUUUAUACUUUAUUCAAAUAAUAAAAAAAUGCAUAAUCAUAAAAAACCCAAAUAAAGAUUUUGUGAUUUUAUAUAUAUCUUUGCUUAGUUUGUUAUAUAAAUAAAUAAAUAAAGUUUGCUAUGAACCCUCAUGAUAAGCUCUCACAUGGAAAUGAUGAAUAGUUGCUAUGCCAUGACUAGUUCUUAAAAUUGAAAUCUCUCUCAAGUUUAGGCAUAACUGUUAUAAUUUAAACCUGAUCUAAACCUGAACUUGUGGGAAGAGUACUUGAUCUAAAGUCUAAGUGGUUAACGGAUAUGAUAUGGGAAGGUUGAGCUGUUGUUUAUCUGUUCCUACAGAUGCUAGAAUUCUGGAGAAUUUUAUCUUUGAAAAUCUUUAAAAUAACACAUGAUGAGUUCCUGUAUGACGAGAGUUUAAAAUCCUACCACAGCCAUAUAUACAUGCUUAUUAGACUUUGAGCUACACAUUUACUUUUUACUGCUUAUGAGCAUUGAGUGUGGUCAAGCUGUGUAGACCCUUAGGAGCUUGUCAUGUGGUUAAAAUCAAGAUGCACUUGCACAUUCACUCACACAUGCUGCUUCUACUCCGGAAGUACGCAUCCACAUACAUCCACUCAUUUUCAUCUCCAGAUUCACCCAAAAGUAUUCUACUCCUAAUCCGGGAGAGAAUAGCCAAAAACAUUUUCCUAUCCCUGUUAUUCCCUUUGAAAUAAAUGCUCCAGUUAUUUUGGUUACUACCACUUGCUACAUUAUUUCAGGAGAUGAGUGCCCUAAAAAAAGAGAGAAAAAAAUAUAUACGAGGAAAUAAAAAGGGGCAAGUGCCCGGAACCUCGAAGAAAAGAAAAAGUGAGACGAGAGGUAAAAAUGGACAAGUGUCCGACAGUAGAAUUAGGGGAACAAGAUACCUACCUGAGAGGAAAGAAAAAGAAAAUACAGAGCAUCUCAUUAUCCUCAAAAAGCUUCAAAGUGCAAGAAAGGUAUGUAUCCCCUCAAUAGAGCAAAAAUAGAAUUAGACUUUCACCAUUGUUAUCACCAUCAUCACCAUACACCAUUCAUUCGCCACACAUGCACAUCUUGGUUUGACUUAUUGACUUGUUUCUCUGGAUCCAUAGUUUAACUAUGCAAUAAAUGUCUUGUAAGUAUGUAUUAGCUGUCUCCCACCUAUGAGCUCCAGGUUUCAAAACCUUAUUAGAGUAGGGUGAGAGAGAGCAAUAUCACUAUGAAUUAUACCAAAAAUACCACAUACUUUGAAAGAAGGCAUAUACCAUUACUGCCUUGGUAAGGAUCCAGAAAUACCACAAAAGAGAUAUUUGAGAGAAUCAUAUAAGGAAUCUCUGAGUUUUAUUUGAAAAUCAGCAAAAACUCCAGAGCUAUAGCUGAUCAAGAAUAAGAGACAUGGCGCUUGACUUGACCAUUCUAUCUUUUAACUGCUCAAGACACAAGUGACGGUUUUCAAGCCCCAUGGUGAAAGGUAAAAUGAGUAAGCUUUAAGUCUUAACAGUUUAUUCUAACUCAGAGAUGAGAUCUUGCUUGAAUGCGUGUGUACUUUUAAGGCAUGAAACCACUACAGAAACUCUUGAGUUCAUCUUUGCUCAGGGACGAGCAAGAGGUAAGCUUGGGGGAGUUGUUGACGGUCCUUAAGUACCAAAUAUAAUCAUCAAAUAAAUAAAGAAAAGGAUCCAAAUGCAACCAACACCUAGAAUUAGGGUUUUAUCUGACAGAAUUCCACGAGUUUUGGUGUUUGUCUAUUUCUGCAGGGGGUUAUCAGGAAAUAAGGAAGAAAGGCCCACAUGUCGGGAUUACAUAGAGAUAUCAACGCACCGCGCAAUUUUCUACCAUCUAGAAGACUCCAGAAGCCACGGGAAGAAAGCGGAGGCCGAAAGGGGCCAGGCCUAGGGCGCCCGCCCUCAGGACCUGGGCGCCCGCCCACUGUUCGAUGCAAAUCGGGACUCUGUUCGCACACGACGUUCCACCGACCUAAUGGAUCAAGGAUAACGUAGUACCACAUCGCCUGCUGGACCAAAAAUGCAAAGAGGAGGAGGACAAUCAAUGGAUACUCUUUUCAGAAGACACUCUACGACACUGGAUCUGACGACAACAUAAUGGCCGCAGUCACUUAUCAGCUCCUGCAUGGAACCAUGCUCCUACAACCAAGAUACAUUCAGCUCCAGAUAAUUAUCAGGUCAUUGACAUGGGAGAUGACGAGUAUGACCCACCCACCAUCCUUAGAAGUCCGUUCCUCAACACUAUCAAAGCCAUCAUCUAUAUUGGAACCGGAGAAGUCCACAUGCACUUCCCCUCUGAGAAGGUACGCAACUACUUUAAUGAUUCUAACUAUAUAGUUGAAGAUUCUAAGCAGGUCAGGACAAGAAGAAGGCGACGCAACUGAAAUCACAGGAGGCAAAUCAUCAAGGACGGAUGGGUUGACUACGAAGGAGAAGUGAUAAGGUCUGAAGAUAUACAGCUUGAACAGAACUGUCCUGAGGAGACCGUAGCACCAGUCAGGUGUGGAGAGAGAAGAUAGUUACACACGAAGAGGAGGCGCCGCCGGAACCACCGACUACGCCAUCCAGCGAAUCCUAGGACGACUGAAAACGGAGAGUCCCAUUUGGAGGACUUAAAAACACCGAACGCCUUGCCCAGAGGUAAACUUGGUAGUUAUCCUUUUCCCUUCAAUUAUUUAAAAUAGUUUGCUUACUUAAUCAGGUUCAUACUAUCUUGAAAAGAAAAUAAAAAUGUUAAAAAUAGUAAGCCCCAUGUGAGUAGACUUGUCGUUUAAAAACCCAUAGGUAUAUUGACUGUGGUGGCAUAAAAUAAAUAUGUUUUCAUCUUACAAUAAAAAUAUAAAAAUAAUAACUGCAUGAUCCUGCUAAAUAAAUAACAUUUAUUGAGGAGGCUCAACAUGAUAAAGGCUAGAUAUUUAUGCUAACACUUAACCAGUUCCACAAAGCUUUGUUGUCUAUUUGAGCUCCACAGAAUUCAAGGAUCAAAGAAGACUAGCAGACGGAGGACAUCCUAAUCGCUGUCAGGGUGCUGCCGACAUUCAAAUACACCUCCACCACCUGCUAGCUACAUGAGAAGAAAUUACGUCAAAAUCCAGCUUGGGGGAGAGCACCCCCAUUUAUCCAGCUAAGUGUUUCUACUCGCAUUUAUACUUUAUUCAAAUAAUAAAAAGAUGCAUAAUCAUAAAAAACCCAAAUAAAGAUUUUAUGAUUUUAUAUAUAUCUUUGCUUAGUUUUUUAAAUAAAUAAAUAAAUAAAGUUUGCUAUGAACCGACAUGAUAAGCUCUCACAUGGAAAUGAUGAAUAGUUGCUAUGCCAUGACUAGUUCUUAAAAUUGAAAUCUCUCUCAAGUUUAGGCAUAACUGUUAUAAUUUAAACCUGAUCUAAACCUGAACUUGUGGGAAGAGUACUUGAUCUAAAGUCUAAGUGGUUAACGGAUAUGAUAUGGGAAGGUUGAGCUGUUGUUUAUCUGUUCCUAGAGAUGCUAGAAUUCUGGAGAAUUUUAUCUUUGAAAAUCUUUAAAAUAACACAUGAUGAGUUCCUGCAUGAUGAGAGUUUAAAAUCCUACCACAGCCAUAUAUACAUGCUUAUUAGACUUUGAGCUACACAUUUACUUUUUACAGCUUAUGAGCGUUGAGUGUGGUCAAGCUGUGUAGACCCUUAGGAGCUUGUCAUGUGGUUAAAAUCAAGAUUCACUUGCACAUUCACUCACACAUGCUGCUUCUACUCCGGAAGUACGCAUCCACAUACAUCCACUCAUUUCCAUAUCCAGAUUCACCCAAAAGUAUUCUACUCCUAAUCCGGGUGAGAAUAGCCAAAAACAUUUUCCUAUCCCUGUUAUUCCCUGUGAAAUAAAUGCUCCAGUUAUUUUGGUUACUACCACUUGCUACAUUAUUUCAGGAGAUGAGUGCCCUAAAAAAGAGAGAAAAAAAAUAUAUACGAGGAAAUAAAAAGGGGCAAAUGCCCGGAACCUCGAAGAAAAUAAAAAGUGAGACGAGAGGUAAAAAUGGACAAGUGUCCGACAGUAGAAUUAGGGGAACAAGAUACCCACCUGAGAGGAAAGAAAAAUAAAAUACAGAGCAUCUCAUUAUCCUCAAAAAGCAUCAAAGUGCAAGAAAGAUAUGUAUCCCCUCAAAAGAGCAAAAAUAGAAUUAGACUUUCACCAUUGUUAUGACCAUCAUCACCAUACACCAUUCAUUCGCCACACAUGCACAUCUUGAUUUGACUUAUUGACUUGUUUCUCUGGAUCCAUAGUUUGACUAUGCAAUAAAUGUCUUGUAAGUAUGUAUUAGCUAUCUCCCACCUAUGAGCUCCAGAUAUCAAAACCUUAUUAGAGUAGGGUGAGAGAGAGAGCAAUAUCACUAUGAAUUAUACCAAAAAUUCCACAUACUUUGAAAGAAGGCAUAUACCAUUACUGCCUU
rnacentral:lncRNA from 1 species